rnacentral:rRNA from 1 species
GGGUUGUGAGGUUAAGCGACUAAGCGUACACGGUGGAUGCCCUGGCAGUCAGAGGCGAUGAAGGACGUGCUAAUCUGCGAAAAGCGUCGGUAAGGUGAUAUGAACCGUUACAGCCGGCGAUGUCCGAAUGGGGAAACCCAGUGUGAUUCGUCACACUAUCGUUAACUGAAUACAUAGGUUAACGAGGCGAACCGGGGGAACUGAAACAUCUAAGUACCCCGAGGAAAAGAAAUCAACCGAGAUUCCCCCAGUAGCGGCGAGCGAACGGGGAGCAGCCCAGAGUCUGAAUCAGCUUGUGUGUUAGUGGAACGGUCUGGAAAGUCCGACGGUACAGGGUGAUAGUCCCGUACACCAAAAUGCACAGGUUGUGAACUCGAAGAGUAGGGCGGGACACGUGGUAUCCUGUCUGAAUAUGGGGGGACCAUCCUCCAAGGCUAAAUACUCCUGACUGACCGAUAGUGAACCAGUACCGUGAGGGAAAGGCGAAAAGAACCCCGGCGAGGGGAGUGAAAAAGAACCUGAAACCGUGUACGUACAAGCAGUGGGAGCACCUUCGGGUGUGACUGCGUACCUUUUGUAUAAUGGGUCAGCGACUUAUAUUCUGUAGCAAGGUUAACCGUAUAGGGGAGCCGCAGGGAAACCGAGUCUUAACUGGGCGUUAAGUUGCAGGGUAUAGACCCGAAACCCGGUGAUCUAGCCAUGGGCAGGUUGAAGGUUGGGUAACACUAACUGGAGGACCGAACCGACUAAUGUUGAAAAAUUAGCGGAUGACUUGUGGCUGGGGGUGAAAGGCCAAUCAAACCGGGAGAUAGCUGGUUCUCCCCGAAAGCUAUUUAGGUAGCGCCUCGUGAACUCAUCUUCGGGGGUAGAGCACUGUUUCGGCUAGGGGGUCAUCCCGACUUACCAACCCGAUGCAAACUACGAAUACCGAAGAAUGUUAUCACGGGAGACACACGGCGGGUGCUAACGUCCGUCGUGAAGAGGGAAACAACCCAGACCGCCAGCUAAGGUCCCAAAGUCACAGUUAAGUGGGAAACGAUGUGGGAAGGCACAGACAGCCAGGAUGUUGGCUUAGAAGCAGCCAUCAUUUAAAGAAAGCGUAAUAGCUCACUGGUCGAGUCGGCCUGCGCGGAAGAUGUAACGGGGCUAAACUGUGCACCGAAGCUGCGGCAGCGACACUUAGGUGUUGUUGGGUAGGGGAGCGUUCUGUAAGCCUGCGAAGGUGGCCUGUGAGGGUUGCUGGAGGUAUCAGAAGUGCGAAUGCUGACAUAAGUAACGAUAAUGCGGGUGAAAAGCCCGCACGCCGGAAGACCAAGGGUUCCUGUCCAACGUUAAUCGGGGCAGGGUGAGUCGACCCCUAAGGCGAGGCCGAAAGGCGUAGUCGAUGGGAAACAGGUUAAUAUUCCUGUACUUGGUGUUACUGCGAAGGGGGGACGGAGAAGGCUAUGUUAGCCGGGCGACGGUUGUCCCGGUUUAAGCAUGUAGGCGGAGGUUCCAGGUAAAUCCGGUACCUUUUAACGCUGAGGUGUGAUGACGAGGCACUACGGUGCUGAAGUAACAAAUGCCCUGCUUCCAGGAAAAGCCUCUAAGCAUCAGGUAACAUUAAAUCGUACCCCAAACCGACACAGGUGGUCAGGUAGAGAAUACCAAGGCGCUUGAGAGAACUCGGGUGAAGGAACUAGGCAAAAUGGUGCCGUAACUUCGGGAGAAGGCACGCUGAUAUGUAGGUGAAGCCCCUGCGGGUGGAGCUGAAAUCAGUCGAAGAUACCAGCUGGCUGCAACUGUUUAUUAAAAACACAGCACUGUGCAAACACGAAAGUGGACGUAUACGGUGUGACGCCUGCCCGGUGCCGGAAGGUUAAUUGAUGGGGUUAUCCGUAAGGAGAAGCUCUUGAUCGAAGCCCCGGUAAACGGCGGCCGUAACUAUAACGGUCCUAAGGUAGCGAAAUUCCUUGUCGGGUAAGUUCCGACCUGCACGAAUGGCGUAAUGAUGGCCAGGCUGUCUCCACCCGAGACUCAGUGAAAUUGAACUCGCUGUGAAGAUGCAGUGUACCCGCGGCAAGACGGAAAGACCCCGUGAACCUUUACUAUAGCUUGACACUGAACAUUGAGCCUUGAUGUGUAGGAUAGGUGGGAGGCUUUGAAGCGUGGACGCCAGUCUGCGUGGAGCCAACCUUGAAAUACCACCCUUUAAUGUUUGAUGUUCUAACGUUGGCCCCUUAUCGGGGUUGCGGACAGUGUCUGGUGGGUAGUUUGACUGGGGCGGUCUCCUCCCAAAGAGUAACGGAGGAGCACGAAGGUUAGCUAAUCCUGGUCGGACAUCAGGAGGUUAGUGCAAUGGCAUAAGCUAGCUUGACUGCGAGCGUGACGGCGCGAGCAGGUGCGAAAGCAGGUCAUAGUGAUCCGGUGGUUCUGAAUGGAAGGGCCAUCGCUCAACGGAUAAAAGGUACUCCGGGGAUAACAGGCUGAUACCGCCCAAGAGUUCAUAUCGACGGCGGUGUUUGGCACCUCGAUGUCGGCUCAUCACAUCCUGGGGCUGAAGUAGGUCCCAAGGGUAUGGCUGUUCGCCAUUUAAAGUGGUACGCGAGCUGGGUUUAGAACGUCGUGAGACAGUUCGGUCCCUAUCUGCCGUGGGCGCUGGAGAAUUGAGGGGGGCUGCUCCUAGUACGAGAGGACCGGAGUGGACGCAUCACUGGUGUUCGGGUUGUCAUGCCAAUGGCAUUGCCCGGUAGCUAAAUGCGGAAGAGAUAAGUGCUGAAAGCAUCUAAGCACGAAACUUGCCCCGAGAUGAGUUCUCCCUGAGACUUUAAGUCUCCUGAAGGAACGUUAAAGACGAUGACGUUGAUAGGUCGGGUGUGUAAGCGUAGCGAUACGUUGAGCUAACCGAUACUAAUGAACCGUGAGGCUUAACCUUACAACGCCGAAG